ACGGGAGGCAGCAGUGGGGAAUAUUGCACAAUGGGGGAAACCCUGAUGCAGCGACGCCGCGUGAGUGAAGAAGUAUUUCGGUAUGUAAAGCUCUAUCAGCAGGGAAGAUAAUGACGGUACCUGACUAAGAAGCCCCGGCUAACUACGUGCCAGCAGCCGCGGUAAUACGUAGGGGGCAAGCGUUAUCCGGAUUUACUGGGUGUAAAGGGUGCGUAGGUGGUAUGGCAAGUCAGAAGUGAAAGCCCGGGGCUCAACCCCGUGGAUUGCUUUUGAAACUGUCAAACUAGAGUACCGGAGAGGUAAGCGGAAUUCCUAGUGUAGCGGUGAAAUGCGUAGAUAUUAGGAGGAACACCAGUGGCGAAGGCGGCUUGCUGGACGACAACUGACGCUGAGGCGCGAAAGCGUGGGGAGCAAACAGGAUUAGAUACCCUGGUA
rnacentral:rRNA from 1 species